GUGGGGAAUAUUGGACAAUGGGCGAAAGCCUGAUCCAGCAAUGCCGCGUGUGUGAAGAAGGCCUUCGGGUUGUAAAGCACUUUAAGUUGGGAAGAAAAAACUUUGGCUAACAUCCAAAGUCUUGACGGUACCGACAGAAUAAGCACCGGCUAACUCUGUGCCAGCAGCCGCGGUAAUACAGAGGGUGCUAGCGUUAAUCGGAUUUACUGGGCGUAAAGCGUGCGUAGGUGGUUGGGUAAGUCGGAUGUGAAAGCCCUGGGCUUAACCUGGGAAUUGCAUUCGAUACUGCUCGACUCGAAUUCGGUAGAGGGAGGCGGAACUCCAGGUGUAGCGGUGAAAUGCGUAGAUAUCUGGAAGAACACCGAUGGCGAAGGCAACCUCCUGGGCCUGAAUUGACACUGAGGCACGAAAGCGUGGGUAGCAAACAGGAUUAGAAACCCUAGUAGUCC
rnacentral:rRNA from 1 species